ncrna:unclassified sequences RAGATH-9 RNA
UCAGUCAACCUAAAGAACUAUUUAUAGCCAAAUCCCUAAUGGAAGUUUAGCAGUUACCAAACUGCUAUUCAAGAGUACAAUGGACUAUACAAUGGUCAACCAAUUUAUCGGUCAGUGAUGAAGGAAACGGGUUACCUAUGAAUAAGAGAUACAAAUAAAUAGGAUAGUUCUUUU